GGGAGAAACACGCGUGUGCGGGCAGAGCGCCGGGGCUUAUCCGGCGUCCAGCUCGCCGUCGACGGCCCUUGAAACUUUGCCUGCUGAAAUAAAUCCACGCCGUGGCGUACCGAUCACCGCAUCAGGUCCCCAAGGUGAACAGCCUCUGCUCGAUAUGAAAAAUGCAGGUAAGGGAAGUCGGCAAAUUAGACCCGUAACUUUGGGAAAAGGGUUGGCUCUAGUGCUGCGUGGGAGUGGUUGUCGGACGCUGGCGUUCUCGGUGUGGCGGCUCGGCGCGGGGACUCUUUUGAGGAUCUGUUCCGGCUGCUACGCUGGUUGCGCCACGGCCGACGACGCCCACAGCAUGCAGCAGACUAGAACUGCAACGGGCAAAGGGAAUCCGACUGUUUAAUUAAAACAAAGCAUUGCGAGGGCCGUGGCCGGUGAUGACGCAAUGUGAUUUCUGCYCAGUGCUCUGAAUGUCAAAGUGAAGAGAUUCAAUCAAGCGCGGGUAAACAGCGGGAGUAACUAUGACUCUCUUAAGGUAGCCAAAUGCCUCGUCAUCUAAUUAGUGACGCGCAUGAAUGGAUUAACGAGAUUCCUACUGUCCCUAUCUGCUUCUAGCGAAACCACAGCCGAGGGAACGGGCUCGGCGAAAU
rnacentral:rRNA from 1 species